CUUGGAGCUCCUUCGCCUGAUCCACCACUGUCCCAACUUCUUACUUUGCAUUCUUCGCCAAAUCCUCCAAUGCAACCUUCGAGCCAUCUCUUUCUCUUUCUUAGCCCAAUCCAAUUAUUUUCUCUUACGUAUUCAACAAUUCACAAAACCACACCACUCGGCAUCAAAAAAGGAAGGAAGCAAAGAAAAUCUUCCUGGCUUUUUCAGCUUCUGCGCACUUGCUUUUCUCGAGUUGUGCCUUCGUUUUCUUUUGGGGAACUGAAAGCUUGAACUGGAGGUGGAGAAUCAGAAUACAAUACCCACCCUUCCCCUUUCUUUUCUUUUACGUCUCCUCCUUAAUAAUAUGAACCAUUUUUCAUACUUUUCCUUUUUUGGUAUAUCCAUAUAAGCUUUUAUUGAUU